rnacentral:lncRNA from 1 species
GAGAAGGAGCCAGACAGGCGAGGAGCUGAGGAAAUGCAGUCCAGGCAAAUGGAAGAGCCUGCAGGAUGGUCUCAAGGCAGGAGAAGCUUGGUGCAUCUGAAUUGUCAGAGGGCUGUUGUGCCCGGAGUUGUCAACGAUGGGGAGACUGAACCAUUUUGGUAGGGUUGCCAAGAUCAUGCAGAGCCUGAGUACAAUGCUCAGAGUUUAUUCUAAAUGAAAUGAGAAGCCAGUAAAGAAUUUAAAAUGGGGGAAAACAAGAUAUAAUUUUUGUUUGAAAAGAUUACUCUGGCCAGCCUGUGAAAUAACGACUGUAGGUGGGCUAGCAUUGAAGCAGGAAGGUCCAGUUGGAAAGCUUUGGCAGUAGUCUUAAAUGAUGUAUCAUGGCGGUUUGGAUGAAGGAGGGGACAGUGAAGACAGGGAAGAGAGAAUGUAUUCAAGACACACUUUGGAGGCUGCCACCAUUGCCAUGAAAAGGACAUGCCAGGAGAAGCAGCCUGAAUCCCAGAAUGAGGACCUGUGAAGCUGAACCCCCGCCCCCACCCCAGCUGACCCAUGGUCCCACAGUCAAGACAGAGCUGCCCCAGCUGAGCCACAGAUUGAUGACAACGAUUCACAGGAGCCAGUGGAGGAAGCCAAGUCCCCAGAAGAUGGUAGAACCACAUCUUCUAGGAAAGAACCUGGAUCCCUAAAUAACUAUGUGGAACAGAGCCCUUGCUGCAACUUGCAAUUAACUGUGAUAUUAGCAAGUUAUACUAGUUAAGUAUACUAAGUUAUAUAUAUACUAUGUUAAGUCUUCAAGGUUGUUUGUUGCAGUCAUUAGUAUUAUUUGCCCUAGUUAAUACAUGGUCAGAGAUUAUUAGGUAGGGAAUAACAGACUUUCUCUAAUUAUGUAAAUUAAAUAUUCAUCUACUUCAGUUUUGAUGUUUGGAUCUUUUCAUCUUCCCAGUUCUGAAACCUAUCUUAGUCAUUAGCAGUGAUUCUGGCCAAGGGUGGGGCUGGUGGAAGAUAGAGGCAUCAGGGUAGAUGGAGCCCUCAGACCCAAAUCUUUAUAAAAGCUACACAUCUCAUUCUUUGCCUUCUCUUGCCCAAUACCUGAUGAAAACUUAGAAAGCAGAGCUAAAGUAAAAGGUGAGAGCAGAAGAGAAACAAUGGCAAUGACACCUAGACCAAUUUUUCCUUGGAUUGACCCAGAAUUGAUGGAAUGAGGGAGGCUUAGAUGUUGCUGCCUAUGCCUAUGUAACAUCCAGAAUUUUGCUGCCUUCAUACCCUGAACACAAAAGCUAGCCAGCCACAGGCUAGAGAUGUUACCAUGUUAAGGGCAAGACUAUAGAAUUCUUGCCCCUGCAGAAUAAGCCGUCAUUGAGGAAGGACCAUAGAUAGUAGCAGGACAUUCUCUGCUCUGGAGAAGACAGAGUCACUUUCCGCAUAGCAUAAGGGGCUCUACAUUCAGGAGAGGCUGAGAAAUCAUGGUGAUGAGCUGAGUUAAAUAAAUGGGUGGCAAACAUCUGACUCUCAUUUGUAAAUGAUUCUUGAGCAAGGAUUGCAAACUCAAAGGCCUCCCCAAGGCUAGGCUUGGACAGGAAAUACAAAUGUGUAAAGAAUGUGAGGUGUUUUCCUUUGUAUGUUAGACUUGGUUUUUUACUUCCCCACUUUCUAUAGAAAUGUGGACUCGGGAAUAUUUCACCUUCCUCUAUAUUUUAAGGAAAACAUCCACACACACACAAAAAUGAAAAUGGCAGUGAUGCACUCAUUUCCGUAGGGAGGCAUUAAGGAGUAGCAGAGGCUGUGGCAAAGUAAAGAGCACACGACCUCCUGAUGUAGCAGGCCCUGCCCUGGGGACCAGCAGGAUUUAAUCUAUCUGGGAUGAUGAGCCCAACAUUUCUGAAUCUUUAGUUUUUUUCCAUAAAAUCUGGACAUAGAAAAUACACUAAACUAUUUUUAUGUGAUACCAUAUAUAUAUAUAUAAGACAUUAUGUGAGCUAAUAUUUUGUAGGUGAAACAGAACAACUCUAUAGAUUUGAUUGAGCUGAGAAGCUGCCCAUUUUCAACCUCUGCCAUACAAGCUAAUCCAGCCUUAGUGACCUCCAUUUCUUGGUAAGGGUGCAGAUAAGGUGAAAGAAAACUGGAAAUAUUCCUUCUCUACAAAGUUCCUAGGACCAGUUUUAUGAUCUGGAACUUGUGUGACUAUAGCAGCUCAAAAAAUGUAAUGCAAGUCAUAUACAUAAUUUCAAGUCUUCUAGAAGCCACGUGAAAAGACUAAAAAGAAACAGAUACAAUUAACUUUAGUAAUACAUCUUAUUGAGCAUAAUAUAAUCAAAAUAUUUCAAUGACAUGUUUUACACUCAUAUGUUUUUACUAUAUAUACUUUUUUGAAAUCCAUACUUUUUUUAUCCUUCAGCACAUGAUACUUUAGACUAGCCACAUGUCUAGUGUUCAGUGGCCACAUGUGGCUGCUGGCUUCUGUAUAAGAUAAUACAGGUCUGGUGCUGCUUUAGGAGGACAUUAUACCUGGGGUUUGAACAAACAACUCACAGGAAUCAUUGAAUGCAGUUCUUUCAAAGUGUGGUCAUUCACAAUAAAGAUUUCUGAGAUCUCACCUUCAAAGGCUGUGAUUUGGAAGCUCAGAGAUUAAGGCCGACGAAUUGGCAUUGUUAAUGGGCAAUCCCAUUGGUACCAAGACAAGGUGAAAUUUGAGAAACACUGCCUUCUGGCCAUGGCAUAGACUUUGUUUUGUAUUUAUUAAUGUCUUUUGGCCUGAAUAAUUUUAUCAACUCAGAAUAAACCAGAAGUUGAUUAUUGCUAUGGAAUCAGAGCCAUGGUUGCUAUCAGCCAAUAAUUAUUAAAUCUCUCUUCCACCUGUGCAGUCUGAAACACAUCAGGGCAACUCUCCCUCCUGGAAUAGAUUCUCCAUCUGAAACAAAAGCGGUGGCCCUCACCUAGUGCAUUGCUCCUCUUGGGGUAAACCCUCUAUAAAUGGAAGUUUUGAGGCUGCCCUUUCUCUCUUGGAUUCAUCAUUGUGGUUUCUGAGCUUCAAAUCUUGACUUUUUUUUUUUUUUUAUAUUUGGUGGUGCCUCCAGGAUACAGAAUUUCCUGGGCCAGGCAUCCAAUCCGAGCUACAGCAAUGACAAGGCCAGAUUCUUAAUGGCUGGGCCACCAGGGAACUCUACCAUUGUUUCAUUUGGACUGCAAAUGGACAGGGCUACAUUUUAGUUGCUAUGCCUAGAUUCCCUGGUAUAUUUCUCCACCUGGAUAUUUUUGACUUGGUACAAGAUGUGGAAGGACAUCAGAUGACCAAGAGCCCCUGUGUGACCAAACUACAGAGGUGGAGUCCCAGAAUCACUCUGCCCAGCCCCCCACGCACGUUCCUGCUGGAAGCUUACAGCCAAAUUUCCAGGCCUGCCCAUACAGCGCUUUCUUUGAGGGUGGAGGAUUCUGGUAUCCCCUUUAUCCUGGGACGUUCAGAAGCUUUACCAACUAUUUGAAAGUAUUACAGCACAGUAUCUUAAGCAAUUUUUUAAAUGCUUUGUCACUAAUUCCCCAGGGAGAGAUGACAGGUGAUUUUAAAUAUUUGACAGUGAGGGAAAUGAAAUCUGCCUGAGCCCCUGCCGGUGGUGGAGCAGGGGGAGGAAGCAGCGUUGGCAGCAAAGCGACCGGUUCCAGGGGUGCUGUGGGGGAGGGGGAUGCAGCCCUGGAUGUUGGCCUGCUCCUUCCACUUUCCUCCUCUCUCCCCUCCCCCUCUUCCUGUUGCUACUCCUACUUCCUGUUAUUAUGUAUCUUCCUGUCAGUUUCCCCGUGGCGCCCCACCCCCUACCCCAGUCAGGUCACAGGAAAUCUAAGCUCCUGAAAGACAAUUCUAUGAUACUAAUUACAUGUCUGGAAAAUGAUGCCCCAGUCUGCAGGUGGUACCCGCUAACAGCAAUCACUAUUACUAUUAUUAUUGUUAUUGUUAUAUUCUCACUGUAGCUUUCCAGGACUGAAUUAUCUUCCUUUGGUUUUGUUGCCAGGCUUUGUGUGCCUUCAUUUGCUUUUUGAUAAGGCAUUUUUCUUAUUCCUGUAUGCCUCCCUUUUUAUUCUUUACCCAGAGUUAAAUGUAGCAAAAAGAAUGCUCAGAUAGAUUAAGAGGCUCAGGAAAUAAAAGGUUGCUUUCAAUCCAAGCAGCGUUGAGUGACAGAAAUAUUAAUGAAAGGUGUGACAUUUUAAUGAUGUUCACACAAAUAUUUGAGGGCCUAUUAUGUGCCAGGCACUCCUCCAGGUUCUGCAGAUACACCAGUGAAUAGGACUGAAAAAAGUCUGUCCUUCUACUGCAGGAGGCAGACAAUAAAUAAGUUAUAAGCAAAACAUGUACCUGAGGUGAUAAAUGCCAUGGGAAAGGAGGGAGAGGGCAAGAGAGGGCUGGUGGGUGGUUGCGAUUUUAAUUAAGGUGUUUGGUAAAAACUUACUAAGUGACCUUUGAGCAAUGUUGACACCUUGGGACUUAAAAAAACUCUUUUGCUUAGUAAAGCUUAUAAAAAAUGAUAGUAGAUGGACUUUAUAGUCUUAAAAUGUCACAUAUAUAGUUGCUAAAUAUAAGCUUGUUCCUGGAAGACACCACCCCACUCUUGGAUUUUAUGACUUUGACCAUUUUAGCUCUCUAACGUCAAGUGGAGUAAUGCAGUAUUUAUUUUUUCUGUGACUGACUUCUUUUCCUUAGGAUAAUACCCCCUACAUCCAUCCAUGUCACAAAUGGCAGAAGUUCCUCCUUUUUUAAGAAAGAAUAAUAUUCCACUAUAUGUAGCUGCCAGUUACUUUAUUCAUUCAUCCGUUGAUGGACAUUUACGUUGUUUUCACAUCUUGGCUAUUGUGUAUAAUACUGCAAUGAACGUGUAAGUGCUAAUAUCUCUUUGAGGUCCUGUUUUCAAUACUUUUGGAUAACUACCUAGAAGUGGGAUUGGUGGGUCACCAGGUAGCUCUAUUUUUAAGUUGUUGAGGCUCUGUCAUACUGUUUUCCAUAGAAACUGUAUAACUUUGCAUUCCCAUCCAUAGUGUACAAGGAGUUUCUUUUCUCCAUAUCCUCACCAACACUUGUCUUUGUGGGGGGGGGGAUAAUAGGCAUCCUUACAGGUAUGAGGUGAUAUCUCAUCAUGGUUUUGCUUUGCAUUUCUCUGAUGAUUAGUGACAUUGACCAAUCUUUUCAUAUACCUAUCAGCCUUUUGCAUAUCUUUCUUGAAGAAAUGUUUACUCAAAUUCUUAGUCCAUUUUUAAAUCAGGUGGUUAGGUUUUUUGCUUUUUGCUAUUGAGUUGUAAAAGUUUAUGUAUUUUAGAGAUUAAGCCUGUAUCAGAUAUAUAAUUCACAAAUAUUUUCUCCUAUUCUGUGGGUUGCUUUUUCACUGUCAAUUGCUUCUUUUUCAAUAAAAAAA